rnacentral:rRNA from 1 species
UACGUAGGGGGCAAGCGUUGUCCGGAAUCAUUGGGCGUAAAGGGCGCGUAGGCGAUCCGACAAGUCUGGUGUGAAAGCCCACAUGUUAACUGUGGAAGUGCAUUAGAAACUGUUGGAUUUGAGUUCAGGAGAGGAAAGCAGAAUUCCCGGUGUAGCGGUGAAAUGCGUAGAGAUCGGGAGGAAUACCAGUGGCGAAGGCGGCUUUCUGGACUGACACUGACGCUGAGGCGCGAAAGCCAGGGGAGCAAACGGG